GGUGGAGACUUCCAAAGGGAUCGCAUUGAUCUAAUUAUAUUCGGCACUUUGAUCAGUGUACGUAUUUAAUUAAUUAUUAGUACUUUACUAAUUUCAGUUCAUUUUAUUGGAUCAUGCGAUCCCUUAGGAAGUUUCCAU
rfam:Morus notabilis contig22926, whole genome shotgun sequence.